UGAUGAAGUCAAUAUCUUGCCAGCUCGUCUAUACCUUCAUCGCCACCUACUUUUCAAACAAGGCAACCACUCAACCACGUAAACUAAAUCUCAGCCCUCAAUCAUUCAACUAAACUACCAAUCCUGUCCGUCUAUUCUCCCAGAUCCGCUAUAUAGUGUCACACCCGCCCUUCAAUCUUUAUCUGCCUCAUCAGCUAAUCCCUAAUAUUCGUAGAUCCACUCUACAUGGUACCCCAUUCGAUCUUUUCGAUUCUAGCUUCGCCUAGAUCGCUCUGCGAUCUAUAUAUUGAUACCAGAUUUGAUAUUCGAAGCUCAUCCGAUGCUUAAACUCUAUGAUUUAACGGUCUGCUAUCUGGUUUGAUCGGAGAUCGAUCGGAGAUCUGUUUCUAUGGCUCUAAUUUUCAGGGGACAUAUCCCGUCGGUGUGUGAGCAGAAGAUGACUCGAGAUAUCAUUUGAAGGUGGAGCGAUAAGCAGUUACAGAAUCUCCGUUGCUUGAUCAUGUAACCUGAGCAGUGAUUUAUUGAUUGAUUGAGGAGUGAUGGAAGGAGAUAAGGGGUGGGGCUGUGUGUUUUGUUUAUGAGGAUGAUGUAUAAGAUACAUAUAUCGGGACUAGAAGGCCAGGAGGCUGAGAGGUCUUGUUUAUUAUCUGUCAUCCGACCUUUGCCAUGACAGGUGCGCUUGCAUGGCAGGUCACCCAUCAUCUUAAUAAAACUAUUAUUUUCGUG